GGCUGGCCUCGGUGCCGCCGGCCUAUGAGGGAGGGACGGAGGCCGGGCGCCCGGUCCGGCGCCACUUGUUCGGCGCCGGAGAGCCGAGGUGGCCUUCUGGGAGGGGCGAAGAGAGCAGGACUAGCUAAGGCCGAACCGAACGCCGGCCUGGAUGCGGCCUCCUGGCGGCUCCUUCAGCGACCGAGGGUCGUAAUCUGGGUAGGCAGCCCGGGAGCGCCUUCAGGUCCCAGCGAGCGGGAAAGAAUGGGAACCGAUGGCCCUUGGGCGCUGCCCCUGGAAGCCGGCCUCUUUUCCCGCGUCCCUCUGAGGCUGACCACUGGGGCGUGCUGUGGGCAGACCCGUUCCUGGGUCAAGGUCUGAGCCGGGAAUGGUGACUCGGGCCUCAAUACCUUUCCGAACUGUGUGAGUCCAUGUGCUUAGGCCGGACACGGAAGUCAGCGACAGGACGGACACAGGAGUUCGUGAGGCGAGGAUACCGGCUGUGGGGGCAGCCCCUGAGCUGCCCCAGGGUGACUGGUCCUUGAAGUAGGCUGGGGCAAAAGGGUCUGGAUUCCAGAUGGGAAGGGAAGAGUUCUCGGUCUGUGGCCCAGGACUGAAUUCUUGGCACCCAAGUCUUCACACAGAAUGGGAGAGAGAACACCAAAUGGCAAUGAUGCUGGUGCAGCAGGAGGCCCUGGGGUCCUGGAAUGGAAAGGCGCCAUGGCUUCUGCAGUGGCUUCUGUGGCGGCAUCCAGGGCCGGGAUGGAGCUGCGGAACUCACAGAGUCAAGGCCAAGGACAAGGAGUGGAUCCCUGUCACAAAGCUGGGCCACCUGGUCAAGGCCAUGAAGAUCAAGUCCCUGGAGAUCUAUCUGUUCUACCUGCCUAUCAGGAGUCUGAGAUCAUUGACUUUUUCCUGGGAGCAUCCCUCAAGGUUGAAGAUUAUGCUGGCAGAAAAGCAGACUCCUGCAGACCAAGUUCAAGGCAUUUAGCACAAAAGCAGAAGACCUCUGCAGACCAGGCUCAAGGCAUUUGUUGCCAUCGGGAACCACAGUGAUCACUUCAGUCUGGUUUUAAGUGCUCCAAGGAGGUGUGCUCCAAGGAGGUAGCCACCGCUGUCUAUCACCCUGGCCAAACUCUCCAUUGUCCCCUUGCAGAGAGGCUACUGGGGGAACAAGAUUGGCCAUCCCCACACUGUCCCUUCCAAGGUAACAGGCCGCUGUGGCUCUGUGCUGGUGUGCCUCAUCCCUGCCCCCAGAGGCAGUGGCAUUGUCUUGGCCCCUGUGCCCAAGAAGCCGCUGCUGAUGGCCAGAACUGAUGACUGCUGCACCUCAGACGGGCUGCACUGCCCCCCGGGGCAACUUCACCAAGGCCACCUUUGAUGCGAUCUCCAAGACCUACAGCUAUCUCACCCCCAGCCUUUAGAAGGAGACCAUGUUCACCAAGUCUCCCAUCCAAAAUUCACUGACCAUCUUGUAAAGACCCACACCAGAGUCUCCAUGCAGAGGACUCAGCUCCAGCUCUGGCUACAACAUAUGGCUUUUAUAGAAGAAAAAUGAAGUGAAUUAAAUAACCUUGUUUAAAAAACUGAUUGAUGAUUUUUGUUACAAUUUAAAUAUUCAUACUCUUUGACCCAGCAAUACCGCUGAAACAUUUGUAUAGGUUUACAAAAAUAUAUAAAAGAAUGAUUAUCGCUGUAUAAUGAGUUUAUUCAGUAAAUACAUAAUGAGGUUCUCCUAUGGGCCUGGCUUCCUCUGGGCACUGGGAACACAGCAGUGAUAUAAAUAAAGUCCUUACUGUCAUGAAAUUUUUGAGGCUGCUGGUGGAGACAGACAAUACAUAAGUAAACAAAUCAAUAUACAAAAUAUGACAAGUAGUGACAAAUGCUGUUUUUUAAAAAAAGCAGAGUAAGGGAUUAAGAAGUGGUAGAGGGUUGAAUAGAAGUGCGUUUAAGUAGUGAGACAAAGAGGGUUUUUCUAAGGAGGUGGCAUUUGAGCAGGAACGUGAAUGAAGUGAGGAAAUCAGCCAAAUGGAAAUCUGGGGGAAGUUUAUAAUUUUUAUAAUACCAAAAAUUGGAAACCACCUAAAUGUUCAUGAAAUACUAAGUAAUUACGCUUUGCAAAAAUACUGAGCCAGAGCUAUAUGUUCAAAAUGAAAAUAUGUCUAUGAUAUCAUGAGGAAAAAAGUUGCAGAACUAUGCAAUGAUUCCAUUUUUUAAAAAAACAAGCAAGAAAAUUAACCUAAAGCAAAUGUAUUUACCACAGGGAAAACAUCUGAAGAAAUAUGCAAAAUCGUCCAAAAAUCUGACUUGUAAGGGUCAUUGUAUGUAUUGAAUGAGAGUACAAUAAGUCAAAGUGCCAGGUGCCUACUAAAGAGAGAGCCAGGAGGAAAACCUUAUUAUCUCUAAAACAGGACCAGGCAGGCAGAAUUAUGACAAGCAAGUCCUGAAGAUCCAUACCCUUGCCUUUUGUGAUGUACUUGGCACUCUCCUCUUUUUCAGGUCACUUACUGCUGAGCCCUUUUUACCUUUCCUUACCUCCCCACAUCCCUUUCUCCCUCCUUUAGCUUUGCUCUUGGGAAAGGAGGCUGUACUUCUGUUUUCUUACUCUGGUCACUUCAUCUGGACUGGCCCUCCUGCCAGUCUCAAGACAAGCAGCGUCGUGCUCUGGCUGCAGUCUGUGGAGAGGUGCUGAGAAGGAAGAAGGCUUCCUGGAUCCCUCUCGUUUAUUAUAGCCUCAUUUCCAAGUGCAGCGUAAAUGCUUGUCCCUGGUUACUAGCUUCACAAUAUUAGGAUUGCUCACACACACUCCAGCCAGUGUUGACUGGAUCACCUGCCUUCUAUUUAAGGUUUUUUGAAGCAGCCAAGCCUCAAGUGUUCCCUGCUCAUACCCACACUCACCCUCCAAGCUCUGCUGACUUCCAGGGCCUUGUGGGUUGGUAUGCUUGUCAACCAAUCGUUAGAAAACACAAAAGCACAGAAAAAUGACCAGUAUAAGUUAAAUUUGUAUAAAAUAAAUAUAGAAAGAACAUUCUGGACUCUUGUAUUGUUUCUAACAAUUAUUCACUUAAUUAUUUUGGAUUUCUAGGUAGACAGUCCUGUAAUUGAUAAUAAUUCUCUUCUCCUUCCUAGUAUUUUGUCUUUUAGUUUAUUGUCUAAUUGCAUGAACUAGCACUUCCAGAACAGCAUUAGAUAAUAGAGGUGGUGUGUAUUCUUCUCCUGACUUUAAUGGAGAUAUUAAGAUGUGGUUGAUUAGAUGUGUAUUUGUGUAUGUGAGCAUGUGUACCUGCCCAAGAUUGAUAUCUUUAUUAAGGGAGUAUUCUAUCCCUUUAUCACUCAGAAUAUUGGUGAGGAAUGAAUAUUAAAUUACAUAUACAAUUUUUA